rnacentral:rRNA from 1 species
AAUUUUCCGCAAUGGGCGGAAGCCUGACGGAGCAAUGCCGCGUGAAUGAUGAAGGCUUUUGAGUCGUAAAAUUCUUUUCUUAGUGAAGAAAAUAGACGGUAACUAAGGAAUAAGCAUCGGCUAAUUCCGUGCCAGCAGCCGCGGUAAUACGGGAGAUGCGAGCGUUAUUCGGAAUUAUUGGGCGUAAAGCGUCUGUAGGUGGUUUUUUAAGUCUGCUGUUAAAGAUCAAGGCUUAACCUUGAAAAAGCGGUAUGAAACUAAAAAACUUGAGUUUAGUAGAGGUAAAGGGAAUUCUCGGUGUAGUGGUGAAAUGCGUAGAUAUCGGGAAGAACACCUGUAGCGAAAGCGCUUUACUGGGCUAAAACUGACACUGAGAGACGAAGGCUAGGGGAGCGAAUAGGAUUAGAUACCCUAGUAGUCCUAGCUGUA